AGUGAACGCUGGCGGCGUGCCUAAUACAUGCAAGUCGAACGGAGUGGCGCACGGGUGAGUAAUGUAUAGCUAAUCUGCCCGACACUAGAGGAAAACAGUUGGAAACGGCUGCUAAUACUCUAUAGUUUAGGAUGAGGCUAUAUUGUAUCAGCUAGUUGGUGUGGUACUGGCUCACCAAGGCUAUGACGCAUAACUGGUCUGAGAGGAUGAUCCGUCACCCUGGAACUGAGCCACGGUCCGGACUCCUACGGGAGGCAGCAGUAGGGAAUAUAGCGCAAGGGGGGAAACCCUGAAGCGGCAAGGCGGGGUGGAGAAUGACACUUUUCGGGGCGUAAACUCCUUUUGUUAGGGAAGGGGGACCUACGAAUAAGCACCGGCUAACUCCGUGCCAGCAGCCGCGGUAAUAC
rnacentral:rRNA from 1 species